rnacentral:tRNA from 1 species
UAGGGGGUAGCUCAGCCCGGUAGAGCGCUUGCAAUUUAAGCAAGAGGUCAAGGGUUCGAAUCCCUUCCCCCCGA